AGGGUUUGAUCAUGGCUCAGGACGAACGCUGGCGGCGGGCCUAACACAUGCAAGUCGAACGCACUCGACCUUCGGGUCACAUGAGUGAGUGGCGAACGGGUGAGUAACACGUGAGAAACCUGCCCCGAAGACUGGAAUAACCCGAGGAAACUCGGGCUAAUACCGGAUAUCCCCACCGGGUCGCAUGGCCGGGUGAGGAAAUGCUCAGGCGCUUCGGGAGGGUCUCGCGGCCUAUCAGCUAGUUGGUGAGGUAACGGCUCACCAAGGCAACGACGGGUAGCUGGUCUGAGAGGACGAUCAGCCACACUGGGACUGAGACACGGCCCAGACUCCUACGGGAGGCAGCAGUGGGGAAUCUUGCGCAAUGGGCGAAAGCCUGACGCAGCCACGCCGCGUGAGGGAUGAAGGCUUUCGGGUUGUAAACCUCUUUCAGCAGGGACGAAAAUGACGGUACCUGCAGAAGAAGCUCCGGCCAACUACGUGCCAGCAGCCGCGGUAAUAC
rnacentral:rRNA from 1 species